AAAAUCGAGUUUUAAUCAGAUCUCGACGUUUUAAGGUCCUAGGAAGCUUCCCUGAUUAUCCCCGCGAUGGUGUCCGUGCGGCUGUAUGUAUGUGUGUGUGUGUGUGUG